ACCGACCUCUAUUAGCAGUACCACCCCAAAUUAUCCCAACAGGCUGUGGCUUUUCCCCAUUCUGACCUGUUAAAAGUAUGAGGCUUCCGCUAUCACCUUCAAGGUCAAAAGUCUGCUCAUUCUCACCAACAACGAGAAAAUCGUUGUAGUUACAUUGUUGAUAUUAAAAUCAUCAGCAAACGGAAUAAAAGCCCCAUCUGCUCGCACAAACGUUUCUGCAGGAGGACCAAACCGUGAUGAUGUGACAUGUAAGGGAGUCGGGAAGCAAUGGAACAUCCAUUAGCACAAAUGUAAAGUUUAACAUGAAAUUUGGAGGCAAACAAAGAAAUUGGAACUGCAUUACCUGGAUUUAUACCAGCAAAGAUUCCAUACCAAAGGUCAUCUGUGAUAAAUGAGGUUGCCCUCUCUACAGCACCAAGGUACACACCAGGCCCAAGGCUGGG